rnacentral:rRNA from 1 species
GGGAAAGUGGCGCACGGGUGCGUAACGCGUAUGCAACCUACCUCAAUCAGGGGGAUAGCCCGAAGAAAUUCGGAUUAACACCGCAUAAAAUCACAGGAUAGCAUUAUCUAAUGAUCAAAUAUUUAUAGGAUUGAGAUGGGCAUGCGUGUCAUUAGUUAGUUGGCGAGGUAACGGCUCACCAAGACCACGAUGACUAGGGGAUCUGAGAGGAUGACCCCCCACACUGGUACUGAGACACGGACCAGACUCCUACGGGAGGCAGCAGUAAGGAAUAUUGGUCAAUGGAGGCAACUCUGAACCAGCCAUGCCGCGUGCAGGAAGACAGCCCUCUGGGUCGUAAACUGCUUUUAUUCGGGAAUAAACCUACUUACGUGUAAGUAGCUGAAUGUACCGAAGGAAUAAGGAUCGGCUAACUCCGUGCCAGCAGCCGCGGUAAUACGGAGGAUCCAAGCGUUAUCCGGAUUUAUUGGGUUUAAAGGGUGCGUAGGCGGCUUGUUAAGUCAGGGGUGAAAGACGGUGGCUCAACCAUCGCAGUGCCCUUGAUACUGAUGAGCUUGAAUACACUAGAGGUAGGCGGAAUGUGACAAGUAGCGGUGAAAUGCAUAGAUAUGUCACAGAACACCGAUUGCGAAGGCAGCUUACUAUGGUG